rnacentral:rRNA from 1 species
AUGCUAAUGCCUCACCUGGGAAGCAAGGUGAGCGUAGUAACUACACGCGAUGAAGCCAUUGCAAGGAAAGUUAGCAGUACUGUUAUGCCAUUCAAGCUAGAUAUUUUGACGGAUGAUAUGUGCUGGACUAUAAUAAAACAAAAAAGUUCCUUUGAAAAUCGACCUGACAAAAAACAGUUGGAGCAGAUAGGAAGGGACAUUGCAAUCAAGUGUGGGGGCAUGGCUUUGGCAGCUCAAUCACUUGGGUACAUGUUGAGGGACAUGACGUCUGACCAAUGGCAGUCAGUGAGGGACAGUUAUAUCUGGAAUUUAUCUACUUCUGAAGAUCCAUCAUUAAGAAAUCAUGAAGUGCUUGCAUCCUUGCUGUUAAGCUAUAGUCACAUGCCUGAAUUCUUGAAGUUGUGCUUUUCCUAUUGUGCAAUCUUUAGGAAAGGUCAGAAGAUAAAGAAGUACGAUCUAAUUCACCAAUGGAUAGCUCUUGGAUUCACCGGACCAUCUAGGAUACUUGGUCCUAUGCAGCUCUGCGAGAAAUAUGUUAGUCAACUUAUGGGGAUGUCUUUCCUUGAAUAUUCAAAGGCACCUCAGAGAGGACAGCGGGACAAAUAUGUUACACUAUUCACGAUGCAUGACCUAGUGCACGAUCUUGCAAGGGCGAUCUUGGCAGAUCAAGUUAAUGAUAAGGGCAGUCCUGGGGGAAACAGUUGCCACUAUGCAUUGAUCACAGAUUGUAGCAAGCCAUUGCAGUUGUCCCCGAGUUAUCUUGAAAAUAUAAGGGCGCUGCAUUUUCGGGCCUGCCACGAAAUAGAGCUUCAUGGUGGUGCAUUUUCACCGGCUAAGUGCAUCCAUGUCUUGGAUUUAAGUGAAUGCCUUAUUCAGAAGUUACCUGAUUGUAUUGGCCAACUGAAGCAGCUGAGGUAUCUUCGUGCUCCACGGAUACGAGAUAAAAUGAUUCCCAAUUGUAUCACCGAGCUCUCAGAAUUAACUUACCUCAACCUUAGAGACUCUCAUAUCUCAGCACUGCCGGAGUCAAUUGGUGAUAUGAAAGGUCUGAUGCAUCUUGAUUUAGCAGGUUGUGCUGGCAUUUGUGAAUUUCCAAAAUCAUUCGCGGAGCUGAAUCAGUUGGUGCAUCUGGAUUUAUCAGAUCGCUAUUAUACCAAACUUCACUUGAGUUUAUCUGAUACCAUUGGCAAUCUAAUCAAUCUCAGGUAUCUAAAUCUUAUGGGGUGCAUUAAUUCUUGGGGCGUACCAGAUGAUCAAGUGGGCAACUUGCUUCACUCUGUCACCACCCUUUCCAAUCUAGAGCAUCUGGACUUGUCAUGCAAUAGUAAUCUUUCUACUAUACCAGAAAGCAUUAGCAACCUCAGGAAGCUUCAUACAUUGGACCUCUCAUGCUGCUGCAACCUAGAGAAGCUUCCCGAUAGUAUGUAUCGGAUGGUUAGUCUGAAGGUUCUAAUUGUGGAUAAAGAGGUUACAUCAUCCAUGCUCUCUCGGUUGAAUUUUGCCUCGUUGCCACAAUUUGUGGUGCAUGCUUCAAGUGAUAAAUGUUGCAGCUAUAUCAGCCUGCUCCAACAUACAAAUACUGAUGACCUGAUGAUAGAUAGACUUGAAAAUGUGAAGUCUUCCGAAGAGGCAGAGUAUAGAACUGAUAGAUAA